UGGGCUGGGGCACACCGGCACGGCAGAAACUGGAGAAAGCGAGAGACGUCGCCAGGGACCCAGGGACCUCUCCCUCCAGUUCCCCGGGCCCGCCCGGCCCUGCUUGCCACUCACGCUAUAGCGCCCACUCUGUCCCGGGUCGUCCCGCGCCAGCAGUGUAGCCCCCAGCCUGGGCGCCUGCAUGCUGUCCCUCCGGAUCGCUGCUCGGGUCGCCAGUUUGGCGACCGUGCCCCCGAGUCCUGCUUCCCCGGGGCCUGCUCUGAAUCAGCCGCCUGCGCCUUCAAGGGUACCCGGCCCGCCUGCCCUCCCCAAGGGCCGAGUUUGCGCUCCUCCCGGAAUCUUUUGAAAGAAGGACAAACUUUUGAGAGGAUGGAAAUCUAGAGGAGCCGGUCCGGAGCAGAACAUUGGUCACGGGGGAAUGGGCUCCAGCAGUAGUAGGGUAGCAUCACCGAGCACCUGCUCUCUGCCAGGCACUGUGCUGGGCACUAGGAACACAGAGAAGAGCAAGGAGGUCCAUGUCAUCAAGGCACCGACAGUCUGGAUGGGGAAAGAAACCACGGAUCUUUACAAAGCAAGGUGAAAAGAACCAAGACUAUAGGAUCAUAUCCUUUCCCUUCACAUCCAGAGAAGAGAAGAGGAUCCGUAAGGGGGCAUUCCCAGCUCCCUGAUGGUUUGCUGUGUGACUGUCCAAAAAUGUCUCUACAUCUCUGUUCUUCUGGCACCAUAAGCUGAAGUUGGUUCCCAAAGAUGGUUCCCAGGUCAUGGGAAGAAUAGGAGAGGGAAUUCCAGAACCAAAUUUCUGUCUAAGAAAGAAACAAUUACCUAAGAAAUUGUGAGUGGAAUUGGACUGAAUGUGGAUGAGUCAGGGCUCUUGAAAAAGAAAGUGGCCAUCCCUCUUUUGAGUCAGUUCUGCAAGAGUGGACAGAAACUUUUCCAGACUCCCAGGCCUCUCUGCUCCCUCAGAGCUUGAAAAGAUUAAAGUCAUUCCUUCUCAAGGUCUUCACUGAAACCCUGGCAAUCUUUCCUUCAAUUUUAAGAGAUUACAGUUCUUCCCAUUGUCCAGCCUCAGUCACUACUUGCUGUAGCAUGAGAUGGCUUCCCUGGGGGAAAGUGUACCAGUCCCACUCAUUGGUCCUCUAAGACCUCCCAGCAUUCCUCAAGACACUUCUGCCUCAUGAUGUCAGAAGAAGGGCUGUCAAAUAGAUUUUAAAACCCCAGCCUCCGCCAGGCGCGGUGGCUCACGCUUGUAAUCCCAGCACUUUGGGGGGGAUCACGAGGGCAGGAGAUCGAGACCAUCCUGGCUAACACGAUGAAACCCCGUCUCUAAUAAAAAUACAAAAAA
rnacentral:lncRNA from 1 species